rnacentral:rRNA from 1 species
GAUCCUGGCUCAGAUUGAACGCUGGCGGCAGGCCUAACACAUGCAAGUCGAGCGGAUGACGGGAGCUUGCUCCUGGAUUCAGCGGCGGACGGGUGAGUAAUGCCUAGGAAUCUGCCUGGUAGUGGGGGACAACGUUUCGAAAGGAACGCUAAUACCGCAUACGUCCUACGGGAGAAAGCAGGGGACCUUCGGGCCUUGCGCUAUCAGAUGAGCCUAGGUCGGAUUAGCUAGUUGGUGAGGUAAUGGCUCACCAAGGCGACGAUCCGUAACUGGUCUGAGAGGAUGAUCAGUCACACUGGAACUGAGACACGGUCCAGACUCCUACGGGAGGCAGCAGUGGGGAAUAUUGGACAAUGGGCGAGAGCCUGAUCCAGCCAUGCCGCGUGUGUGAAGAAGGUCUUCGGAUUGUAAAGCACUUUAAGUUGGGAGGAAGGGUUGUAGAUUAAUACUCUGCAAUUUUGA